AUUUCCUGUUUUGUAUGUAUAUCGAUUCCGCUCCUCUUCUUUCCACCAGUUUUUGUAGAGACAGGAUCUUGUUGCCCAGGCUGGUCUCGAACUCCUGAGCUGAAGUGAUUCUGCCUCUUCAGCCUCCCAGAGUUCUGGGAUUAUAGGCAUGAGCCACCAUGCCCAGCCUUAAUGUUGAAAACAGCCUUCCAUAGAAGCCAGACGCUGGGCUACAGGAAUGGCUAUGCAAUUGUUCGACGUCCAACAGUUGGGAUAGGCGGAGACCGGCUCCAGUUCAACCAGCUGUCCCAGGCUGAGCUGGAUGAGUUGGCCAGUAAGGCACCAGUCUUAACUUAUGGCCAACCUAAACAAGCCCCACCUGCGGAUUUUAUUCCUGCGCAUGUGGCCUUUGACAAAAAGCUAUUGUAAAAGGGGUUGAGGUCUUGAUUUGAUUCUCAGCUUGGUCGCUGUUGGUGUAAAGAAGAGCUACUGAUAUGUGUAUAUUAAUUUUGUAUCCAGAAACUUUGCUGAAUUCUUUUAUCAGUUCUAGGAGCUUUCUGGAGGAGUCUUUAGGAUUU
rnacentral:sRNA from 1 species